AUAGGAGGAAGGACUAGCUUGCAGCUCCUGCCUGGAUGGACAGAGCAGCGUGGGGAGACUCAUAUUGUGAACUUUUGCUCCAAGAACUACUGCAGGAACAUACCAGGAAGCCAAGAGAAUCCACAGACCCUUUAAAGGAACUAGAUCACUGCUGCAGUCUCCCGGAGAUGACAAAAAACUAUCCCCAGAGACGUGAAGAUGCAUGGAAUAACACGUGAAGAGAGGAAACUUCGGGCUUGUGGUCAAAAUGUGUUCACCACGGCAGACAACUGCUUGGGUGACAGCUUUGGCCUCUGGAUGAAUUCUCCUUGGCGAGCAAUCGUCCCACCUGUAGGUGCCUUCAUGAUCGUCUGUGUGCAGGGCACCAAGCAGGCCAUCUAAAGCCACUAAUCUCAAAGAGAGCUUACCCAGGGACAGGACUUUCCAAAAGUAAAGGAGCACAAUAGAAGAGAAUGGCUGCUGCUAAGUUCCAUCCAACAGGGUACAAGCCAGGCACUGAGCUGGGCAUUGAGGAUGAAGAGAUGAAACACAAUUCUAGUAUCUAAAUAGACCUUUGUUGGAAGCUGAGUUCCAGAGUGGGAUAUCAGACUCAAGGCCCAGACUUCACUUCUGGUCUCCUGACUUCCAAGUGAACAGUGUUGCAGCUUCCCUGACUGCAGUUAUAGGAGAAGACAGGGAGGAGAUAAAGAUGAGAGUGCCUCGGGAAGAGCAGGGAUGGAGGAGACAACCUGAGUCUUCUGAUCCAAAGGAGUGUGAAGAUGGAGUGACAUUGAGAGAACUGCAGAAGAAAGGGACUUGGCAUUUAUGGAGCAUACACCUGUACCAUCAUAUCAAAAUGCAACACAGCUAUUGCCUCUUGGAACAUUAUAAUAGAAUGGGGAAAUCAAGUAUAUAAAGAGUAAGCCAGGAUGUGGAGCCAGGAGAGAAGGGGCAUUCAAAGGGCCUGGGAGACCCUUGGUGAAAACAAUCAGUUGGUUUCAACAUCCCAGAGAGAUUCUCAAUCAGGUAGCUCACAGAGACCAAAGUUGGCACACAGCACUCUCCUAACACUGAAGACUCUACAACUCCUUCUUCAUGGGAUGUGUGAAAGCACAGAGAGAUGGAGACAUGGCUGCUUGGAAAUUGUCCUUAAAGGAACCACAGAAUCAUCUUUUAGAGCUGAGUGAAUGGUGUCUCUGGAUUGCAUCUGCAACCUGACGUUCCAGAAUGCUGGCUCCAUGAAGACAAGGAGUUUUGACUCUUUGGUUAACUGCUGAUACCAGUGCCUGGUACAUAGAGACGUUAAGUAGAUGAAAGACCAAGAAAAGCGAGGGAGAGAAUUCAAUAUAUUUGAGAACAAAGGCAGCCAUUAACCUGUCCAUCUUCAGAACCUGAAUCGGUAGCCAAAUCUCAGCAGACAGAGCUACAUAAUGCCAGAUAAAUCUUCUUGCUGAAUGAGAGACCCAUCCUACCAGCAUAAACAACAUUUGAACACUCUAGCCCCCAGCCUUACCAGCCAGCUCUCCAUUCUCUACACACAGAGUCUUUGUUGGGACACUCUAGGCCAGUUAUUUCACCAUCCUGAGUCUGGUCCCUCUCUGAGGCCCAGGGACAAAUAUUCAGUUCAGGUUUGAAUUAAGGAAAGAUACUACUACCUUGAUGGGGGAUCAGGACCACAGGACCAAAUUGAACCAGGCAAGACUGAAGGGGCCAAGGGAUAGAGGAUCCCCCUCCCAAAGGAGCCAACUGGAAGGCAACAAUUGGGUGGCCUGUUAAAGAGGAAAGAAGCUUAGGACAGGGAGAAUGCCACUUUCUAGUAUUACAAAAAUAUCCUUUAGGCAAGGUGAGGCCUUUUUUUUACUCUGACACUAUUUUUUUUUAAACCAACCCUGAAAGAAAAAUGAUAGGGUCAAGGUUGGUCCAGGGAACAGUAGGUAGGGAAGCAGAUGAGAGGUUCAGAGCUCUGGAGUGUGAGCAAGAUAUUCUUCUUCUAGGCACCUGAGUUAUCUUCUUUCUAAAUCAGGGCGAAAUGUCCCUUUUCAUGUUUCCUGAGUAGUCAGGGAAGCAACCAACCAAAGUCAUUGGGAAUUAGAACUAAGAAUCAGACGGACCUGGUUUGCAUGCCAAUGGUGUCACUGGCUAGCCGUGCAACCCAUGGCAAGCCACUGCAAGUCUCAGAGCUUUGGUUUGCUUGUGUGUGAAAAUGACAAAUAUAGUGCAGGCCUAACAGAAGCAUGGUGAACAUCUGAUGAUGGAAUAUGUGCAAAGCGCUUAACGUAGUUCCUGGCACAAUAUUAAGUACUUCAUAAAUGUUUGCUGUUAUGAUUAUCAAUCAAAACACAGCAGUAAUAAAUUAAGGCAUGUUAUUAGACCUUAGCUUUCCUACCAAUAAAGAACUAGACAAUCUCAAGUGUUCCUUCCAGCUCUGCUGUUUAUCUGAAAAUUCACGACAGACACUCAGUGAUACAGAAAUGUGUGCUCCAGACCAUGUGAACUGGAGAAGAGAAUUUGGUUCUCUUCAGCUUCAAUUCACAUUUGGGUUCAUGUGUUUUGCUGCCUUCCUUCUUUUCUCUACGUAUUGACACCUAGGAAAACUCAAGAUGCCAGAGAUCCCUGACACCGGGCUCAUAUGGUAGGCUGCGUGAUGAUGGAGCCGAGAGCUUAACCGCCCAAGGACAGAGGGCCUCAGCAGGAACUUUGGGAAUCAGCAUAUUGAUACCUAAGUGGAGACCUCUUUCCAGACCCAGAAACUGGAGCACGCAAGGCCUUGGGGAAAUGACCAGCAAGUUCACAGCCCAAGGUUUCUCUGACUGGUUGGAGAGUCUAAUGUAUUCCGUCAUGCCGUCUAAUUCAGAGUCUCCUUGCUUUGACUGUCUGUCUCCUGCUUCUGUUGGCUCUUGCUCAAGAUGUGAAAAGUCAUUGGAGAUGCUUAUUACCAUGGGGUGGAAAAGUCAGGGGGCUUUGAAGCAGAUUACUCGGUUCGAAUCUGGGCUCCCUAACUUUGCUGUCUUGAGCAGGUGGUUUCACGUUUCUAGCCUUGCUUUCUUUAUCUGAAGCAUGAAGCUGAUAAUUUCUACUUUCCAAAGUUGUUUUAUGAGCUUUAACUGAGAUAACUGAUAUACAGUUCCCAGCACAGUUCAUAUAGUGGGUUUUCAAUUAAUGUUCAUUCUGCCCCUUCUUUCCUUAUCAAUAUAAGAAUAACCAAAUCC